UCAUUCUGUACAGAAUAAAAAUGAUUAAACUGAAACAAAUCAGGCAAUAAUUCUCCGCGACUUUUCUUCUCAACGGUACAUGGUAUAAACUGGAAACCUUGAACAAACACUAACCCUGAUUCCGAGAAAUUGAUGACGUGCAUGCCAUGAGCAGCCAGUG